rnacentral:rRNA from 1 species
AGAGUUUGAUCCUGGCUCAGGACGAACGCUGGCGGCGUGCUUAACACAUGCAAGUCUACGAGAAAAGAGUAGCAAUAUUCUGAGUAAAGUGGCGCAAGGGUGCGUAACUCGUAAGCAAUCUACCUUUAGAAGGGGAAUAACCCAGCGAAAGCCGGACUAAUACCCCAUAAUGCAGCGGAACCGCAUGGUUAUGUUGUUAAAGUCUAUAUGACGUCUAGAGAUGAGCUUGCGUCUGAUUAGCUAGUUGGUGGGGUAAUGGCCUACCAAGGCGACGAUCAGUAGCCGGCCUGAGAGGGUGAUCGGCCACACUGGAACUGAGACACGGUCCAGACUCCUACGGGAGGCAGCAGUGGGGAAUUUUGCGCAAUGGGCGAAAGCCUGACGCAGCAACGCCGCGUGGGUGAUGAAGGUCUUCGGAUUGUAAAACCCUGUCGUCGGGGACGAAGGUGGGGGCGUUAAUAGCGCCUUUGCUUGACGGUACCCGGAGAGGAAGCCCCGGCUAACUCUGUGCCAGCAGCCGCGGUAAUACAGAGGGGGCAAGCGUUAUUCGGAAUUAUUGGGCGUAAAGGGCGCGUAGGCGGUGAUUCAAGUUGGAUGUGUAAUCCCCGAGCUCAACUUGGGAACUGCAUCCAAGACUGGAUGGCUAGAGUGCUGGAGAGGGUGGUGGAAUUCCUCGUGUAGCGGUGAAAUGCGUAGAGAUGAGGAGGAACACCAGUGGCGAAGCGGCCACCUGGACAGUAACUGACGCUGAGGCGCGAAAGUGUGGGUAGCAAACAGGAUUAGAUACCCUGGUAGUCCACGCCCUAAACGAUGUCUACUAGUUGUUGGUGGAGUAAAAUCCAUGAGUAACGCAGCUAACGCGUGAAGU